GGCAGGCUUCUCCUCUGCCAGGGAGAAGCUUGAGGUUUUUUAUAUUCUUCCUGCAUGAUGCUGGAGCCCGAAGGGAAAGGCAUAUGACCAGGAGGUGCAGGCAGGCCAAAGGUCUCACUGGGUCAGGACACCUGUGUCUGACUCAAUGACUGGGGCAAAAGCACCACCUUACCCAUCAGAGUGUGUUUCCAAGAGUGGGAAGGCAGAGAUUUCUGAUGCAGAUGGAAAUCAGCCUCGCCUCGAAGCACAAUGACGGCCUUAUCUCAUAAUUAUUUCCUGGAGACUCCUCUGAAUGAAGCAACCCGUCCUGCAAAGGCUUCCCCAGUGACAAACAGAGCGUGCCUAAUGCUGAACCGAAACCAGAACAUACAGAUUGACAAGAGUGUCUUGGAGUGGGGACAGGAAUACAAAAACACAGCAAGCAAAGCACAGAGACCAGGCAAGGAAGGAGCAGAGCCAGGAGGCAAGUUAAUUUAAGAGACAUGAGCUGCUGGAUGUCUUCUUGCACAGCACCGUGACUGCUGGAGUUAAUGCUGGAUUAUAAGCUCUUGUGCUGGCUGCUGCUGAGGAAACCUUCACUUACAACAGGACCUGGGAGAAGGGAGCAGUGUGCUGGAGCCAGAACCCAAAUCUACGAGAUAUCUGUAACCAGGGAAGAAGCUAAAAGGUUUUCCAAAUGGCAGGAAAUGGCAAAGUAGACCCACAUAUUGGGAAACCUUGGGUUUCUGCCAGCCCUGGCCCUUGCAGAUUUGUUGAUUUAUGCAAAGUUAAAGCAUGACUGAGCUCUACUCACUGCAGUGCUAUUGCCUGGCUUUAUGCUAAAAAGCAGCAGUUGAGAGGACAAAGUACAAAGUUUAGUUUUUAUGUAGAGAUGGUUCAUUCAAAUUUAGCUCAGAAAAAAUUACGGCAAUAAAUGAUUAUCUCAGAGCCCCAUCUGUUAACCCAGGCAGACACAGUUCAGUGGCCAGCAAACCAACUCUUAAUGGCCCUGCUUGCAAAGCAAGGACACAUCCUGCCUUGUCAAGCCAGAACAGGCGUUUCUGUCUGGGCUUGUGAGAGAAGGCAGGACACAUCCUCUGCUUGGAGGUGUUUCUUUCAAGGCAGGAGCUGAGUAGAUUUAAGAACUGCAGAGAAAGUUAUCUUCCCCUCCAGUUCUACACUAAUGCUGCAAAUAAAUCUACUCUUGGCAGUGCUGGGCUGUCUUUUCUCUCCCUGGCCUUAUCUCUGCCUGUCCCUGUUGCCUGUAUCUGAACAGCAUCCUCACCCCACGAACCUCAACGUGUGCUCCAAGGACAGCCCUUCCUGGCUGUGUAGGGAGCAGAGAAAAAGCUGAGAACUAGAGAUAAAAUUGAUUAUUCUCCCAUUUCCUGGCCACAUUAGUAUAAAUUCUGUAUUCUCCUCUAUUCAUCCCAAAAGUACUAACAUGACUCAGAGGACGCACAUUAAGGAGAUUCACAACUGCACAGCAGGCACUGGUGGAAAUUACAUUAUGCUGGGGUUAAAAAUGUGAAGGAAACUUAAAUUUGCCAUUUUCUUCCUUGUUGCAGUUCUUUGGGAAGAUAGAUAAUUUUACAUAGACAAAAGAGAGGAAGAAAGCCUGGGAGAAGCAGCUGUUAUCUUUGUACAUAUGUAUGAAGCGUGCAUUCAAACCCCGAAGACAUUCUACAGGAGCAGCCAGCCCAGAGAGUACCCUGAGGUCCUGUGAGGCUGACCAUUAAUGCAAAAUUGAUCAUCCUCAGUACUGGAAACCGGCUACUUUACAAUCUAGAGACGCUUUAUGAUGACCUUGCCAUGGGAUUUAUGCCUCAGAAAAUGGUCUCUCUGAUUAGUGGGAGAGCAGCCUGCAGGCCCCUGGGGAUCUCAGGUCUUGCAUCAGAGCACUGAGCAGUGGGAGAGGAGCAUUAGCCCCCUUCCAGCCUAUUGCUCCCAGCAGAAAGGAAAUCUGAUAGCUUGCCAAUCCCCUGAGUCACCCUUUGCAAUAGGCAAGCAUUAAACUAAAAAAAAAAAAAAAAAAAAAAAAAAAAAAAAAAAAAAAAAAAAAUUACAUUCCCCUUAUUGCAAGGCCUAAUGAAACAGUUACUAUAUUUAGAGAUAAACUCCCAUGACUGUGGUCUCACUGCAAGGCACUUCUGCUCCUCAGUUUUGUAGCUAGUUACUCCAACUCAAAAUGCUUCAGAGUAAAACAUUUUAUUCCAGUAGCUUCCCAAAGCUGAGUCCUGUUCCUGUGCCAAGCUUUUUCUACUUACUUGCCCCCUCCCAAAAUGCUGGUUGUGCAGCAUGAAGUAUCUCCUAAACAUAUUCCAUCAAGCUUUCUGCUGAGUAUAUUCCUAACCUUGGGAUUUCCUGCAAUCCCUGGUCCUGAUAAAUGAACUACUUAAUCCUCUGCUCUGCUCAUGGUACUCUGCCUGUCACACUUCUGCAAUUUUCCAGUAAAAAUAAUGCCUGUCCCAGGUCUCAUCAAACCUUAUCUCCUCAUGGGCUGCAAAUAACCUGCUUCUUCUGAUCAAACAGAUGGGUAGCAUCAAAUUUAGUAUCUCUAAAUGCAUGGGAGCUUCUGUUCCCUACGUCUUACAAUUUAUCAGUUUAUUUUGGAAACAAACAUAUAUGAG
rnacentral:lncRNA from 12 species